AGUGAACGCUGGCGGUAGGCCUAACACAUGCAGGUCGAACGGCAGCACAGUAAGAGCUUGCUCUUACGGGUGGCGAGUGGCGGACGGGUGAGGAAUACAUCGGAAUCUACUUUUUCGUGGGGGAUAACGUAGGGAAACUUACGCUAAUACCGCAUACGACCUACGGGUGAAAGCAGGGGAUCUUCGGACCUUGCGCGAUUGAAUGAGCCGAUGUCGGAUUAGCUAGUUGGCGGGGUAAAGGCCCACCAAGGCGACGAUCCGUAGCUGGCCUGAGAGGAUGAUCAGCCACACUGGAACUGAGACACGGUCCAGACUCCUACGGGAGGCAGCAGUGGGGAAUAUUGGACAAUGGGCGCAAGCCUGAUCCAGCCAUACCGCGUGGGUGAAGAAGGCCUUCGGGUUGUAAAGCCCUUUUGUUGGGAAAGAAAAGCAGCAGGUUAAUACCCCGCUGUUCUGACGGUACCCAAAGAAUAAGCACCGGCUAACUUCGUG
rnacentral:rRNA from 1 species